rnacentral:misc_RNA from 1 species
CAGAGAACAUCGCCCUCACGGGGGUGACUCUCCAACCCUUAUGUUAUUAAACCUUUGUUGCUUUGGCGAGCCGCCCCGGCCACCGGCUUUCCGCUGGUGAGUGCUCGCCAGAGGACCCCAAACUCUGAAUGUUAGUGUCGUCUGAGUACUAUACAAUAGUUA